GAUGAACGCUGGCGGUAUGCUUAACACAUGCCAGUCGAACGGACUCUUCGGAGUUAGUGGCGGACGGGUGUGUAACGCGUGAGAAUCUGGCUUUGGGUUCGGGACAACCACUGGAAACGGUGGCCUAUACCGGAUGUGCCGAGAGGUAAAAGAGAAAUUGCCUGAAGAUGAGCUCGCGUCUGAUUAGCUAGUUGGUGAGGUAAAGGCUCACCAAGGCAGAGAUCAGUAGCUGGUCUGAGAGGAUGACCAGCCACACUGGGACUGAGACACGGCCCAGACUCCUACGGGAGGCAGCAGUGGGGAAUUUUCCGCAAUGGGCGAAAGCCUGACGGAGCAAUACCGCGUGAGGGAAGAAGGCUCUUGGGUUGUAAACCUCUUUUCUUAGGGAAGAACAAAAUGACGGUACCUAAGGAAUCAGCAUCGGCUAACUCCGUG
rnacentral:rRNA from 1 species